rnacentral:tRNA from 1 species
AGAGAAUAGUUUAAAAAUUAAAAUUUUAAUUUUGGAGAUUAAUGAUGAGAGUAAUAUCUUUUCUCUGAA